AUGGGGAUAAUAAAAACGCAUUUGUAUUUUUCUCUUUCUCUCUUUCUCCACUUCUUUCUCUCUCUUUUUCUUUCUCUCUCUCUCCAUUCUGAUUAGUAUUACUUAAAGAAUUUGAAUCUAAAUUUGUAAAAGAUCCAGGGGCAGAUAAAGAAUGAGCAUGAGAAGAUACU
rnacentral:ribozyme from 1 species